CUGGCAACAUCGGUCCAAUCCUUAAAGUCAUCCUCAGUUCGGACUGGGGUCUGCAACCCGACCCCACGAAGCUGGAUUCGCUAGUAAUCGCGAAUCAGAAUGUCGCGGUGAAUACGUUCCCGGGUCUUGUACACACCGCCCGUCACACCAUGGGAGUCAGUAACGCCCGAAGCCGGUGACCCAACCGAAAGGAGGGAGCCGUCGAAGGUGGGACCGAUAACUGGGGUGAAGUCGUAACAAGGUAGC
rnacentral:rRNA from 1 species